rnacentral:rRNA from 1 species
CCCUACGGGGCGCAGCAGUCGCGAAAACUUCACAAUGGGAGAAAUCCCGAUGAGGGAAUUCCAAGUGCUAGCACUAUGUGUUAGCUGUUCUUUUGUCUAAAAAACAGAAGAAGUAAGGGCCGGGUAAGACGGGUGCCAGCCGCCGCGGUAAUACCCGCGGCCCGGGUGGUGGUCGAUAUUAUUGAGCCUAAAACGUCCGUAGCCGGUCUUGUAAAUCCUUGGGUAAAUCGGCCAGCUUAACUGUCUGAAGUCCGGGGAGACUGCAAGACUUGGGAUCGGGAGAGGUCAGAGGUACUUCUGGGGUAGGGGUGAAAUCUUGUAAUCC